rnacentral:rRNA from 1 species
GAUCAUGGCUCAGGAUGAACGCUAGCGACAGGCCUAACACAUGCAAGUCGAGGGGCAGCGGAGAGGUAGCAAUACCUUUGCCGGCGACCGGCGCACGGGUGAGUAACACGUAUGCAAUCCACCUGUAACAGGUGGAUAACCCGGAGAAAUCCGGACUAAUACCCCAUAAUAUGGGCGUUCCGCAUGGAGAGCUCAUUAAAAGAGAGCAAUUUUGGUUACAGACGAGCAUGCG